UCCGAAACUACACGGCUAGAGUAUUGGAGAGGUGAGUGGAAUUCCAGGUGUACCGGUGAAAUGCGUAGAUAUCUGGAGGAACACCAACGGCGAAGGCAGCUCACUGGACAAUGACUGACGCUGAGGGACGAAAGCGUGGGGAGCGAAAGGGAUUAGAUACCCCUGUAGUCCACGCCGUAAACUUUGUGCACUCGCUAUUGGCGGAUUCGACCCCGUCAGUGGCCAAGCUAACGCGAUAAGUGCACCGCCUGAGGACUACGGCCGCAAGGCUAAAACUCAAAGGAAUUGACGGGUCCCCGCACAAGCGGUGGAGCAUGUGGCUUAAUUCGAUGCAACGCGAAGAACCUUACCAGGUCUUGACAUGUAGCGGACCGGGGCAGAGAUGCCCCUUCUCUUCGGAGCCGCUUCACAGGUGCUGCAUGGCUGUCGUCGGCUCGUGUCGUGAGAUGUUCGGUUAAGUCCGUCAACGAGCGCAACCCCUGUCCUUAGUUGCCAGCAUUCAGUUGGGGACUCUAAGGAGACAAUCCCGCUUUUGCGGGAGGGAAGGUGGGGAUGAUGUCAAGUCAGUAUGGCCCUUACGGCCUGGGCUGCACACGUGCUACAAUGCCCGGUACAAUAGGUCGCUACUCCGCGAGGAGAUGCUAAUCCAGAAAGCCGGGCCCAGUUCGGAUUGGAGUCUGCAACUCGACUCCAUGAAGUCGGAAUCGCUAGUAAUGGCGCAUCAGCAAUGGCGCCGUGAAUACGUUCCCGGGGAUUGUACACACCGCCCGUCACAUCAUGAAAGCCGGUUUCGCCCGAAGUACGUGCGCCAACCUUCGUGGAGGCAGCGUCCGACGGUGAGGCUGGUGAUUGGGAUGAAGUCGUA
rnacentral:rRNA from 1 species